CCUUUCUCUUUUCAAGGCUGCAAUGGUCCCCCUGCCACAGUCUUCAGUGAGAAAGCCAAGAUACAUCAGGCGUGAGCAGCACCCAGAAAAGAAUAGGGAUCCUUCUGCCUUCUCCACAGUAGAGGCCCACAUCAGCAACGUCUGACGUAGAGGUCAACUGAGAUGUCACAAUACAGCAGUGGAGGCCUGGGGCUUAAGAUAUGCCAGAAUUGUCUCCCAAGGACAGACACGUACAAAUGCUGGGGGAUGCUACCCUCCAUGCCAGGAGAUCUUCACUGUGUGGUUUAACAGGAGUAACAUCUGUGAGACCUGAGGACUCAAGAGCAAGUCAUGUGGGGUCUGUGCCCCUUAGGAGUAACAGCAUCUGUAACAGCCGUAACACAGGCCUGAUUCAAAUGAUCAAAACUUCUGGAGCCCACCCACUGGAACUCAUAGCAGACAGCAUCUCUCCUUCACCACCCAGCUAAGAAGAGUGAAACCAAGGUCCCAACAGUGGAGAAAACACAGCCUGGAAACUGGUACCAGCCAUAGGUUGCUCUAGUGUCAGCUGCUACUUAACUGCUGGCCUCUCAAGGCACAUAUUUCUCAGAGUUGCAGAAUUGAGUGUCCUGGGUUUUCUGAUUCCAGAAGCCAUCAGAACCUUGUCUCCCAAGGUCAGACUUCCAUCCAGGCACCUUUCAGGCUGGGCACUCAAAGUAAAAUGUUUACCCAUGGGGUCUCCAUCUCUGAACACUUCAGAUCACUUGUCCCAUUGGGCUUGCGAGAUCAUGCUGGUCAGCAGUCCUGUCUUUGCUGUUCCAAGACUCCAGAAGCUAUGUCUGUGAUCUGCUAGUGUGGCUGGUGGCAUUGGUCAUGUGCUCCUGUAGAAGACAGUGCAAGCCACCCUCCAUGUGUGGUCCAAAGGUGUCUAGCAUCUUCUUCAGCAUCAGGCACACAUCUGAUGUUCCUCACAGUGUUGUGAGUUUGUUUUCCCAGACUUAAACCAGUGGCUCAGGUAGCAGCAGCAAUUUAAAGUUGGACCAAUUAAAUUAGACUAGAUCUUCUCUCCUCUAGCUUUAUUAUCCCAAGGGUCAUCUAUUCAGUGUGUGGGCUAGCUACCCCAUUGCCAUGUUCAGGGGACAGGAGGCAGGGAGGGGAGGAGGAUCCCUCAGCAGGAUCCAGACCUGCUGCUGUCUAGUGGGACUGGCAGUACAGCACAAACCACCCCUUCUCUUUCCUUGGCCAGAACCUGUUCCACACGUGGCUUCUCCCAUUUCAGGAUACUGUUGGGCGUGAAGAGAUGACCCGGCUCCUUAGGACUUGAGGUAGAAGUUGCCAAUCAAGUAUGGCAUGGUUCUUCAGAUAGGACGAGAUCACUGGGUUUUGAGGGGGCCACUGACAGUUUAUGGAUCUAACUCACCCUUGGGGAAAGUAGAAGCCCCUACCUGGCCACCUGAGUCCAUCUUAGUGGUUCCACUCCAAUCCUCUGUAGAUGUGUAGAUGUUUGUCAGUUGACUAGAGGUAGAACUGGGUAAGGAAUGCCAAAUGAGAGCAUAGGGAUUCUAGAAGUCCUGCCAGGCAGUUUGAACGAGAAUGCCUACCCGGUGCCCCCUAGGCUUAUAUACCUGAAUGCUUAGUCACCAGGGAAUGGCACUUGAGAGGGGUUAGGAGGUGUGGCCUUAUUGGAGGAAGUGUGUCUCCGGGGGGUGGGCACUGGGCUCUCAAAAGCUCAAGCCAGGCCCACUGGCCUUCUUUUCCUGCUGCCCAUGGAUUUGGAUGUGGAACUCUGAGCUCCUCUUCCAGCACCAUGUCUGCCUAUGUGCUACCAUGCUUCUUGCCAUUCUGAUAAUGGACUAAACUCUAAAACAGUAAACAAGCCCCAAUUAAAUACUUUCUUUUAUAAGAGUUGCUGAGGUAAUGAUGUCUCUUCACAGCAAUAGAACACUCACUAAGACACUGCCCUUUGCUUUGUAACUUCUGUUGAUCUCCCUAUGCACUGACUAAAGAGACAUCUGUUCAGACUUCAAAUGAGUUUCGUGCCUGUGGCAUCCAAAGAGCAACCCCUCUGCCCUUGGCCUUAUUUCAGAAAGUGCUGGGCAGUAAGAAGCUAGGAGGCUAAGAUAUGAGGUUUAGGCCCAGCUCCUUUGUUCUGAGACCAAUGCCCUGGCCCUGGGAACAGUGUGGAGUAGUGUGAGCUACAGGACGGAAUCUGACCCAGCAUCUUUACGUUCAGCAGCUUGACACCCUUUGGCCUACAGCAGCAUUGGGUGCUGUAGCCAGCAUGAAGCACCCUAAGGUUUAUGGUUCCCCAGAUGAUUUCUAAUG
rnacentral:lncRNA from 1 species